rnacentral:piRNA from 1 species
UACAGGAAUUGGUUCUCUCUUCUGUC